UCAACCUUAACAUCCCACCAACAUCUUUCUCUCAUCUCUUAAAUUUCUCCAUCAAUCCCAACAAACGUCAACCUUAACAUCCCACGAACUUCUCUCUCUCACCUCUCAACCUCUCUUCCGUAGCUCUCUCAAUCUUUCACUCUCUUCUUCUCGGCCAAACACAACAAAACACUACCGCCACAUCAAAACUCCACCAGGAGCCAGCAAACGCUCUCAUAACUACCUGCGACUCUCUGCAACUUUUUGGCCUGUCACACUCGGAGGAAAACGAAAAUUUCGUUCUUAAUAUUAUCGAAAUCCGAGCAACUGAAUCGUCUCCAAAUUUUUCAAGCUAAACCCGCUCAAACUUUGUUGAGUUGAUCGAGUUUUAAGGUGUAAGAUGACUUCCCACAACCCCUAGACUACAGAAUUGAGCUUGCAUGUUCGAAUAUCCCUCUGUCUAGAAAGUCCGAAUUUGGCAUUGGCUUAUAGGCCAUUUUCCGAGCACCUUCGGCCAACCUUUGGUCACCAAAGAGAAUUUUAGUGGCAAAGAGUUUCAUGACGACGAGGAUUGCUGGUAAAACCUGUUCUGUGGGAGACUUCUCCUUUCGGUAUAAAUAUUCUUACUAUUAUUUUACAGCAAUUUACUAAUGCUCUGAACAUCACUUAUGCGAAUGGGCUGAUCGCCCUUACAUGCGGACUCUAGAAUUAGUUACUUUAGGUUUAAAUUAGUAGUACUUCCCACAUCAUCAUCACUUAAUGGCUUGGUCGGCCAACAUAACUCGAUCCGCAUGUCUAAGUGGAUAUUUCGGGUCAGGAUGUGUCACCACAAAUCUUGUUUUGUAUUUUAAACUUUCUAUAGUUAAAAAUAAAAAUAUACUUGUGGAGUGUAAAAUGAGAUUAUUGAAGAGUUAUUAACAGUUCUUAUAACAAUUAUUCAAAACACAAACACAUAUAGUUAUUAUUCAAUUCAAAUUAUAACACAAGAUUCUAUAAUUUGGUUAUGUAUAUGCAUUUAAUUAGUUAUUUUGAAGAAAAAAACAAACCAUUUACUCUUAUGUUUAAUUUCAUAUAAUCGAGGGGAAUCAAUGCCCUAUUCUCCUCCUCGCGACAUAUCGCAAAAUUUGAAGGAAAAAAAAAAUCUAGUUCAUCGGGAGAAUAAAGGUAUCUUCCAAUUAGUGGACGAUGUCACACCAUAAAAAUACCUUCCAAUAAAUUGUAAUACAUAUUCCCAAUGUAUCUGCUAUACUGUUGAGGUCGUUACUCCGGAUGGGUGUGAAACGAGUUGGUUAAACUCUAGGCUAGACGUAGGCUAGGCUCUUGACAAACGAGAAUUAACUUUUCAUUUUUAAUUAUGCUUUGACCCCCCAAAAAGGGAAGAUAACAAGUAAAUUAACAUUUUCAAUGUGUAAUAGGUUCGAUGUUGAACCUAGACACUUUAAUGAGCAAUACUGGUUAUAUUAUCAACUUGAAAACUGAAAACUAUAUGGAAAAUAUGAUCAAGUAAUUGAUAUAUUGAAUAACAAUUUGUGUUCCAAAAAAUAAAAAGAUUGAGCCCAGAUAUAUGAGUUUUGAUUAUGGGUGGUCUAAGGAUAGACCUUGUUUCAUUGAUCUUAAUUAAAAGAAAUUUCCAUGGAACAUGUAAUUUGUUAUUAAUACACGCUACUCACUAGUUCUUAAUAUGCUGAUAUACUGAGGUGGAUGUAAGCUCUGGUCACAAGAAAGAAGAUGAAUGGAAGUGAGAUGGCCUUCAUCUGCAAACCAUUAUUAUUACUUUCUUUGUUGAUCGAGUCUGAUUUUUUUCCUAGAAAGCAAUUGAGCAAGCGAAUUUAAAAAAUACCAUGGAGUUAGGUAUGUUACCAGAGAGGAAGAGAUAACAAAAAGUUGAAUUGAAUGUGCAUCUCUAUUGGGGAUUUAUAUACUGUGCAACUUUUUUGUGCCAUAGAAAAUGAAGGGCUUAUUUCUAGAUUGGUGACAACUAACCAAGGUCGAGCUCUUCCUUUUCUCGUUCCAACACGAAACACAUUGUUGUGAAUAAAGCAGUAGAAAAAGAAAACAACAUAAUAAUACGUAUUGAGAAGUCCUGAUUGGAAGAUCAGUAUUGUGAUUUUGCUGCAUGCAUGCACGUACUACAUUGUUAUGCCCUACCAACCUUACCAACUUUUAAUGAGGAUCAUUACAACUCAUUACUCUCAUCCACCAACCUUACCUCUUAUGCUCUAAUUUCAAAACUUACAUAGUUUUUUUUUGUUUAACUAGGAUAUCCGCACCACUCAUCCCAAAUUAUGCGAUCACCCAACACAAUUUAAUGGAUAUUCAUAGGUCAUUACAAGGUUAAUUUAGAAAGUUAGAGUCAAGUAACUUGAGAGAUAAAAACCCUAAAACCUCUCGUUUCUAACACUGUAUAAUAAUACUACCAUCUUUCCAAUUCUAAAUCUUCUCAUACUUCCUUUAGACCAUCAUAUUUUACUAAUUCAUUCUGCAAUCCUCAUGCUUCUCUUUUUCUAUUCUCAAUUCCUCCCAACUCUCGUCCCUGCAAGGAUAUACUUCCUUUUAAAUCACGAGGUUACCGACUAUCAGAGGCUACCACCUUUCUCAUUCCUGCAAGGAUAUACUUCUUUUGAAGCACAAGAGGCUACUGACUCUCUCUCUUCUCAAUUCCACCCAACUCCUGACUCUCUUCUCAGUUCAUCCUCACUCUUGUCCCUACAAUACCUUUCCAUAUUCGAAAAUGAUGCUAAAGUCUCUUGUGUUUCUGAAUGAAGUAUAUCCUUGCAAGGAUGAAAAUCGAGAGGAAUUGAGUAGAGAGAGUAAGACAUGAAGAUUGCAUAAUGAAUUAAGAAAAGAUGAGGGUCUCAAGAAAGUAUGAGAUGAUUUAGAAUUGGGAAAUGGUAGUGUUAUUAUAUAGGGUUAGAGAAGCGAGAGGUUUUAAGGUUUUCAUCUCUCAAGUUACUUGACUCUUACUUCUCAAAUUAACCUUGUAAUGACCUAUGAAUAUUCACGAAAAUAUGUUGAAUGAUCGCAUAAAUUGGCAUGAGUGGUGAAGAUAUCUUGGUAAAACAAAAAAGAAAACUUGGUAGGUUUUGCAAUUAGAGCAGAAGAGGUGAGGUUGGUGGGCGAGAGUAAUGGGGUGUAAUGACCCUCAUUAAAAGUUACCACAAAAUUGAUGGUGUCUAUGUAGCAUAUGUGACGAGGGUCCAAGGAUUUAGUAGGGCAUAUCUAUGGAGCACAGGCAUGUAUGCUCCGAAAUCAAGUUAUUGAUCUUCCAAUCAAAACUUCUCAAUACGUUAUUGAUCUUCCAACCAUAAACAAGCCCUUCACUUUCUGUAGCACAUGAAAGUUGCAUAGCAUACAAGCCUUCAAUAGACAUGCCUAUUCAAUUCAACUUCAUGUCCUCUCUCUUCCUCUCUAGCAACCUAACUCCAUACUAUUUUUUUAGUUUGCUUGUUCAAUUGCUUUCUUGUAAGAAAUCAAAUGUUCGAUCAACAAAGAAAGUAAUGGUUUGCAAAUGAAAAUCAUUUCAUAUCCGUCCAUCUUCUGUCUUGUGCCUAGAGCCUACACCCAACUCAGUAUAUCAGCAUAUCGAUGACUAGUGAUUAGCGUAGUGUUGACUAAUUACAUGUUCAAUGGAAAUUUCUUUUAAUGAAGACUGUCUAUCCCUAGGGCACCUAUAACCGAGUUGCAAAGUAAAUCAAAGCUCUUAUAUCUGGGCUCAAUUUUUUUAUUGUUGGGAAGACAGAUGGUCUUCAAAAUAUGUUAGUUAUUUGAUCAUAUUUUCCCCAUAAUUUUUUAGUUUUCAUGUUGAUAUUAUAAUAUUUAUAUCUCAUAAAAGUGUCUAGGUUGAACACGAACCUAUUACGCAUUAGAAAUGUUAAUUUACUGAAGUUAAUUGUCGUUUGUCGAGAGCCUAGCCUAGGGUUAAACCAACUAGUUUCACACCGGGUAACAACAUAUUGAGUAACGACCUCAACAAUUUGGAAGAUAUUUUGAGAAUAUGUAUUCUAAUUUAUUCGAAGUAUCUUUGUGGUGUAACACCGUCAACUUAAUGUAAGGUAUCUUUAUUAUGCUCCCGGUGAAUUAGCUUUGUUUUCCAAAUUUUGCGGCUAUGUCCAGAGAAGGAGAAGAGGAUAUUGAUUCCCCGUUGAUUAUAGGAAAUUAAACAGAGAGUAAAUAGUAAAUUUUUUUUCUCCAAAAUAAAUAAUUAAAUGCAUGAACAUAACCGAAAUUAUGGAAUCACAUGUUAUAAUUUGAAUUGAAUAAAAAACUAUUAUUAGCAUUCCAAAAAUCUUAUUGAGUGAUAAUGGUACGUUUAUUGUUGAUUAUCAUAUAUUCGUUUUGUAUUGAUUGAUACGUUUAUUUUUAAUUUAUGGGUGUACAUAUCGUUGACUGGUACGCUUAGUUUUAACUUUUGGUACGUUUUGUUUUAGCUUUCGAUAUGUUUAGAUUUAGCUUCCGGUACGUUUAGUUUUGUUCUCGUUGAUCGAUAGAUUUUUUUCACGAUUUUAUUACGAUUGUUUUUGUAUACAUUGUGGAUUGUACCAUUUAGUAUCAUAUGGGUACGAUUAAUAUUAUACAUAUCAUUGAUUGGUACA